rnacentral:rRNA from 1 species
UACAGAGGGGGCAAGCGUUAUUCGGAAUUAUUGGGCGUAAAGGGCGCGUAGGCGGACAGUUUAGUCAGAGGUGAAAGCCCAGGGCUCAACCUUGGAACUGCCUUUGAUACUGGCUGUCUUGAGUUCGGGAGAGGUGAGUGGAAUGCCGAGUGUAGAGGUGAAAUUCGUAGAUAUUCGGCGGAACACCAGUGGCGAAGGCGACUCACUGGCCCGAUACUGACGCUGAGGCGCGAAAGCGUGGGGAGCAAACAGG